AUUGAACGCUGGCGGCAGGCAUAAAACAUGCAAGUCGAGCGAGCGGCGGACGGGUGAGUAAUGCAUGGGAAUUGCCAAGUCGAGGGGGAUAACAGUUGGAAACGACUGCUAAUAACGCAUACGAUGGGAUUGCCCAGGUGGGAUUAGCUAGUUGGUGAGGUAAUGGAUGACAAAGGGGACGAGCCCUCGCUGGUCUGAGAGGAUGAUCAGCCACCCUGUAACUGAGACACGGUCCAGACUCCUACGUGAGGCAGCAGUGGGGAAUCUUGCACAAGGGGGGAAACCCUGAUGCAGCCAUGCCGCGUGUGUGAAGAAGGCCUUCGGUUUGUAAAGCACUUUCAGCGAGGAGGCGUUACUCGCAGAAGAAGCACCGGCUAACUCCGGGCCAGCAGCCGCGGUAAUAC
rnacentral:rRNA from 1 species